rnacentral:rRNA from 1 species
AGUGAACGCUGGCGGUAGGCCUAACACAUGCAAGUCGAACGGCAGCACAGUAAGAGCUUGCUCUUACGGGUGGCGAGUGGCGGACGGGUGAGGAAUACAUCGGAAUCUACUUUUUCGUGGGGGAUAACGUAGGGAAACUUACGCUAAUACCGCAUACGACCUACGGGUGAAAGCAGGGGAUCUUCGGACUUUGCGCGAUUGAAUGAGCCGAUGUCGGAGUAGCUAGUUGGCGGGGUAAAGGCCCACCAAGGCGACGAUCCGUAGCUGGUCUGAGAGGAUGAUCAGCCACACUGGAACUGAGACACGGUCCAGACUCCUACGGGAGGCAGCAGUGGGGAAUAUUGGACAAUGGGCGCAAGCCUGAUCCAGCCAUACCGCGUGGGUGAAGAAGGCCUUCGGGUUGUAAAGCCCUUUUGUUGGGAAAGAAAAGCAGCAGGUUAAUACCCCGCUGUUCUGACGGUACCCAAAGAAUAAGCACCGGCUAACUUCGUG